rnacentral:rRNA from 1 species
CCUACGGGAGGCAGCAGUGGGGAAUAUUGGGCAAUGGAGGAAACUCUGACCCAGCGACGCCGCGUGCGGGAUGAAGGCCUUCGGGUUGUAAACCGCUUUCAGCAGGGAAGAAGCGAAAGUGACGGUACCUGCAGAAGAAGCACCGGCUAACUAUGUGCCAGCAGCCGCGGUAAUACAUAGGGUGCAAGCGUUGUCCGGAAUUAUUGGGCGUAAAGAGCUCGUAGGUGGUUCGUCACGUCGGAUGUGAAACUCUGGGGCUUAACCCCAGACCUGCAUUCGAUACGGGCGAGCUUGAGUAUGGUAGGGGAGUCUGGAAUUCCUGGUGUAGCGGUGGAAUGCGCAGAUAUCAGGAGGAACACCAAUGGCGAAGGCAGGACUCUGGGCCAUUACUGACACUGAGGAGCGAAAGCGUGGGGAGCGAACAGGAUUAGAUACCCUGGUAGUCCACGCCGUAAACGGUGGGCACUAGUUGUGGGGACCUUCCACGGUCUCUGCGACGCAGCUAACGCAUUAAGUGCCCCGCCUGGGGAGUACGAUCGCAAGAUUAAAACUCAAAUGAAUUGACGG